UACGGAGGAUCCAAGCGUUAUCCGGAAUCAUUGGGUUUAAAGGUCCGUAGGCGGCCCGAUAAGUCAGUGGUGAAAUCUCCCGGCUCGAACCGGGAAUGGCCAUUGAUACUGUCGGGACUUGAAUUAUUAGGAAGUAACUAGAAUAUGUAGUGUAGCGGUGAAAUGCUUAGAUAUUACAUGGAAUACCAAUUGCGAAGGCAGGUUACUACUAAUGGAUUGACGCUGAUGGACGAAAGCGUGGGUAGCGAA
rnacentral:rRNA from 1 species